ensembl:lncRNA
AUUAUGCAGGGCUAGCCAAAGGAGCCUAAACCAUGUAGGACAAAAUUGCAAAGAUAUAGACAUUAUUAUUUUUAACUUUUGUUUUAGUUUGUCAUCUAUAUCUGGGCUUUUUAUGCUCAGGAAAAACGUGGAACUCACUAUGAAAUGCAGAAUCUCUGCAAAUCAGUCCCGAGAGCCCCCACGAUCCUUCACUGAAGUCAAGGAAUCGAACACUCAGCUCGUAGAGCGGAUUGCUCAUUCCUCGCAGCUGAUAUCACAUGGGGGCCUACACUGGUCUGGAGUAAAGAGAAAUAAAUCGGAAACUUGCGAUAACUCUAGAACCAUGGUCCUUAAAGUACGGCUCCCCAACCAGCACCAUCAGUUUCACCUGGGAACUUGUUAGAAAUGCAGUUUCUCAGAACCCAGCCCAGACCUGCUCUGUCAGAAGCUCUAGGGGUGCCUCGUAUUCUCCAUUUAGCAAGUUCUCCAGUUGAUUCUGCUGCAGGCUGAACUUUGAGAACCACUGCUCUGGAUAAGAUUGAAGGCAAUUCCCGAAAGCUGAAGAGAGAUCACCAUAGACAUGUGGCAUCAUCUGUAUAUCCUCUAGUAGAAAGCAGGAGCCGCACUCCCCAGGUCUAGAACCGGAAGUGCGCCUCAUUAUGAAAUGAGCCACAUUUGAAGCUUUGCAAAGAUACGUGCAAGGCCCUAGACCAAGAAUCAGCAGCAUUGGCUGAGGGUUUCACAUCUUCUGAUUAUCUUUUGCUACAAACGUGGUUAUUUAUGUACUCCCAAUUACAAUCUUGUAAUUUUACCUUCCAUAGGGAAUAUCGCACUAAGCCAGUCAUUUAGACCACAAGAAAUUAAAAAAUUAAAUCAAGCUAGGAAAUCCUGGGUACAAAUUUUGUCCAUUGUGGCACUUUAUAGGUGGCCAGCUCAAGUGGUAGAUAUCUUACUCUCUGAAGUUCACCCCUCUCUCAUCCCUAUGGCAGCUCAACUUUCUAUUAGAUUCCAAUUCUUGAGAAAACAAAGCCAGCCUUUCUGCCUCAUUUUUGGGGCACAAUCCUAGAGUGAAGAUAAAAUCAUUUUCCAUAUCACUUCCUAACACCCCAGUGUGGGCAGAGGAGAGUAGGGCUUUAAGGGUAGAAAAGCAAAAGUAGGAUCUUCUUGGCAAGAAGAGAAAAAUACAUAAACCUGUUGGAAAAUAAAACAAAAACUUCUCACCCAUCAAAUGACCACUCCAUCCAGCAACAGAGUUUAAAAUACUUCGAAGAGCCAUACUACGUUGGAAACAGUAAACUCUGGAUUCAAAUAUACUGUUGGUAUUCAGAGUCUCAGAACAAUCCUCAAGUCCCAGCUUUGCUCCACUUAUGCUCAUAUUUUCAGUAAGUUAUGGCUAACAAUCACCUAAUAUGUUUUGACUGUCAAACUUUUAUGCAAUUGGUAAUGAUCCUUCCAGAAUGGUUUCUGUGGCCAAUGAAGCUUUCACCCAUAAACCAUAGGCUCAGAAAGGAAACAGGGAAUGGCCAAGGCAUUUUGUGCCUGCAUUUGUAUUCAUUUGUAUACAGACCCAUAAUUUCUAAUAUUGUAUCCUUUCAUUCUCUAAAUGUCACUCAAACACUACAGUAAUGCAUAUGGUUCUGAAUAACACCAAGGACUUAAAAAUAAAACUCUUGUCCUUGUCAUAUCUUGGAAAAUGAUUAUAUCAACGGUAGCCAGUUAAGAACAAAGACAUGGGGUAGGAAGUCCCAAACCUGGAACUCCCUGUGUCCUACUCUUACUGUUAUGGCAAGAGGCCGAAAUAUUCAUCAAGUGUAGCAUGUUCAUCAGCGGGUGGUUCAGUAAAGCAGUUCUUGUCAGGGAAGCCAAAGACGUGAUAAUGGUCAGCCUAGCCUAAUUAUGGGGAGUCUGGAAGGAAGGAAGGCCAGGAUUCACCAUUGAUCAUUUGGAUCACCAGGCAUUGCUUACAAGCCAGGUUUCAUGAACAGGAAUCCAGCCUCAUGAAGAUGCGGCUUAGCUGGCAGGAUUAUUUGGAGUGAAUGGGGGCAGAAGAGUGGAUUGGAGUGGUAGUUGCAGUAAUAACACCAGCAACAAUGAUAGCUGGCAUAUUUAAAGCUCUUACUAUGUACCAGGUGCUUUGCUAAACUCUCUUACAUGAACUAGCUCAUUUACUUAAUACAGUAAUUCUGUACAUAUUGUUAUUCCCAUUCUAAAAAUAAGGAAAUUGGGGUCUAGAAAAGGGGCUUGACCAAAUUCCACUGUUUGUUUGCAUUUUCUCUACUGUUUCAGGCAUGCCCUGUUUGCCCUUGGGACCCUUCUCCCUAAGAGGCUCUUUACCCUCUUGCUCUUUACCCUAAGAGGCUGACAGGAACUUAGAGGGAGGCUAGAGAAAGGGAGGGAGGAAAGUGAGGUCUCUCCCCAUAAGGUCAUGUCUGGCUGCCUGUGUCCCUCCUCUCACUGAGUAUCUAAUACUGGAACACGUGAUGUGGACUCUUUAGGCGAUAUGAGAUGCCCAGUUGUCAUACUCUAGUAAGGGUUUAGAGAGAGCUGAACAACAAGGGAGGCAGAAACACAGAAUGUGGGGCAAGAACCUAGAUCUUCUUUGUCUGUGAUCACAGACCUGGGUGGGCUGAAUCUGCACUGUAGGUGAGGUCACCUGGCUUCAUCUGCGAGGCCUGGAGAGCACCACCAACUCAGGCAAGGCUCGCUAGCAACGAUGCUUCUCUUGAUGUGAAAGUUUGACUCUCUAAUCACUAAAGUCCACUGGGGAACAGCCUUUUCUCUUAUUAGUUGUUCUUUUAUUGAACUGUUGUUAUGACAUCGACACAGUAGGGCGUCCCCUAGCAAGUUUAGAAUGAGCAAUAUCUGAUUGCUCUCCUUGGUCUAGGAAUAAAAUCUCAGUGUCAGUAGAGCUGAGAAAUGCUCCAAACAGCCAAAGGGGCAGACUAGCUCCCAGGUCUGUGAGAGUUGAUGGUAACCCAACGAAAUACAUGAAUACAGAUUUUUCUAAAAAAUGAAUGAAUCUGUGAAAAGUGCAGUAAGUCUUCAGGACAAAGACAAAGGAGAGCUAGGGAGGUAACUGGAGACCAGGUCCAUGUGGCACAAUCUGGUGAGGGGAAAAAGAUCUUGGGCUAAAGAUUUUGACUAUUCCUGCUUCUUUUGUCAGAGCCUCCUUAAUAGGAGAUGGUGGCUUUACAUAAAUAUCCAACUUUUGAAUUGUAUUCUCAUUCAGGAACAUUUUGAUUAUAAUUGGAGUUCUCAUAUAUUUUGUCUUUAGGGAGAUAUUAUGCCAACUACAAUUGAGAAACUGAAUCUAGUAGAU